GAAGAUUAGUUUUGGUAUUAGACUGAAAUAGGUUUAUUAGUAAUAAGAGUAGUUAAAUUUAACAAAAUCAUUAGUACUAAGUAUUGUUGAAAGAAUUGGUUAGUGUGAAUAGUGUAGCUGUUUGUGAGGUGCUUAAAGGCAUAGUAAAAUAAAUUUUAAGAAGGUCUGUAUUACUGUACUUUUUGUAUCAUGGUCUAUAGAGGUUAAAGAUUAAUGUUUUUUCCUGAAAAUUACGGAGCUACUUUUUAAGAUGAUUAAUGUUGCAUCAUUAAUAGAAAUUAAAAAGUAGUGGUGAAAUGUUUGUCGAAGUAGUUGAUAGCUGGUUAAAGGGAAAAUGUAUUUAAGUACAGGGUUAAGGAAAUGCGUUUAUUAGAAAUUAGAACUUUAAUUCUGAUCUUUUUGGGGUUAAGCUCAAAAAGGUGGGUUAGUAGGAUUGGAGGUUAGGUUGGUAAGUAGGCUUAGAAUUGGCUUUCUUUUUGAGUUUGUUAUAAAUCCAACCAAAAACAGAUAGUAAGAAGGUACCCUUUCUGACUUAAAAUUAUAAGUUAAAGAUUAGUAUAGAAUUAGUAGUAGUUUUGUUUAACGUUUUAGAUUUAGUUAGUUAAGAUGUUAGAAUUAUUAUAACUUGGAAAUUUAUUUUGAAGGAACUCGACAAAUAUUUUUUUCGCUUGUUUAUCAAAAACAUCGCCUCUUGAUUUUUGAUAAUGAGAGGUUGUACCUGCCCUAUGGUUUUAAAAGAUAAGACUAAAUGGUUGCAGCUAAAUGCUGUACUAAGGUAGCGUAAUAAGUUGCCUCUUAAUUGGGGGCUAGAAUGAAGGGUUUGACGUAAAAAAAUUUGUCUCCAAAAUAGUAGUAUGAAGUUUUCUUUUCAGUGAAAAGCCUGAAAUUGUGAUAAAAGACGAGAAGACCCUGUCGAGCUUGAUAAAGCGUGUAAAGAGUUGUAUAUUAAUAAGUUUAGCUGGGGCAGUUCGGAACAAAUAAAAAGUUCCGUUUGUGUUAUAAAGAUCCGACUAAUGUCGAAUAAAGAAAAAGCUACCGCAGGGAUAACAGCGCUAUUUUUCUUGAGAGGACUAAUUGAAGGAAAAGAUUGCGACCUCGAUGUUGGAUUAAGGUAACUUUCUGGUGCAGCCGUUAGAGUAGUAAGACUGUUCGUCUUUUAAAACCUUACGUGAUCUGAGUUCAGACCGGCGUGAGCUAGGUCGGUUUCUAUCUUUAUUAUUUUAACUCAUCGUACGAAAGGAUUUGAGUUGUUGGUAUUACUGUUUUUAUAAAUUUAGGGUGGUUGCUUAAAAACUAAACAAAGUGUUAGAAGUG
rnacentral:rRNA from 1 species